rnacentral:rRNA from 1 species
GACGAACGCUGGCGGCGUGCCUAAUACAUGCAAGUCGAACGAGAGCGCCCGGUGCUUGCCCUGGUCAAUCUAGUGGCGAACGGGUGAGUAACACGUGGGUAACCUGCUCAUCAGAGGGGGAUAACAUCCGGAAACGGAUGCUAAAACCGCAUAGGUCUUCGAGCCGCAUGGCUUGAAGAGGAAAAGAGGCGCAAGCUUCUGCUGAUGGAUGGACCCGCGGUGCAUUAGCUAGUUGGUGAGGUAACGGCUCACCAAGGCCAUGAUGCAUAGCCGACCUGAGAGGGUGAUCGGCCACAUUGGGACUGAGACACGGCCCAAACUCCUACGGGAGGCAGCAGUAGGGAAUCUUCCGCAAUGGACGCAAGUCUGACGGAGCAACGCCGCGUGAGUGAAGAAGGUUUUCGGAUCGUAAAACUCUGUUGUUAGAGAAGAACAAGUGCUAGAGUAACUGUUAGCGCCUUGACGGUAGCUAACCAGAAAGCCACGGCUAACUACGUG